GAUGAACGCUAGCGGCAGGCCUAAUACAUGCCAGUCGAACGGGAUUGCGGUAGUAGCUUGCUACUACUGCAUGAGAGUGGCGCACGGGUGCGUAACGCGUGAGCAACCUACCCAUAUCAGGGGGAUAGCCCGGCGAAAGUCGGAUUAACACCGCAUAACAUCAACAGUUCGCAUGUUCAGUUGAUUAAAUAUUUAUAGGAUAUGGAUGGGCUCGCGUGACAUUAGCUAGUUGGUAGGGUAACGGCUUACCAAGGCAACGAUGUCUAGGGGCUCUGAGAGGAGAAUCCCCCACACUGGUACUGAGACACGGACCAGACUCCUACGGGAGGCAGCAGUAAGGAAUAUUGGUCAAUGGGCGCAAGCCUGAACCAGCCAUGCCGCGUGCAGGAGGACUGCCCUAUGGGUUGUAAACUGCUUUUAUCAGGGAAUAAACCCCUUUACGAGUAGAGGGUUGAAUGUACCUGAAGAAUAAGGAUCGGCUAACUCCGUG
rnacentral:rRNA from 1 species